CAUCGCUCACGGAGGGGCUGGUUUCAAUUAGACAUGUUUGUGUCCUUUGUCAAACAACGGCAUAUGGCUACAGUGUGCGUACUCUUGUGAGGCCUGAGAACAAUAGCCCUGACCACUGGGACACAUUGUGCCACCCCAGAAGAGUCCUCCGUAUUGUGGUGCACAAGCAUCCAAAGCAGAUGGUUAAUUUUUACCAGACUCUUCUAGCAUAAAGUGACAAACUCUGUGCGUCAAUCAGUGGCAAAAAAAGGGGUCCCAACAUUACCUGCUUUUGCCUUUCACUGCAGAAGGUGGAGCUAAAGAGGACCUGGAGGGAAGUCUGGGCUGAGAUGCUGGGGAGCAGUCCGGCACAGGGAUGGAGUACACUCUUUGGACCACCACCAUCACAUCAUGGCCUAAAGAACCAGCCUGUCCCAUUCCUUCAAUAGCCUCCAGGAGAGAAUGGCAACAUCUGGGCAGGACACCAGGAAGUCCAUAUGUGGCAGCUACCUGAGGCUUGCUGGAAAUGACCUAACUACUGCCAGGAAGAGGAAUGUGAAACAUUCCCAGGAGCUGUGCGUGACGUCAGAGCAACGAGGAGGCCCCAGCGCUUCCGCCAGCCUGGAUAUUCCAGAGUGCAUUCAAUCUCAAACUCCCAACAGCUGGAGGCGAAUGCUGCCUUGCUCCCACUUCAAAACAACCCUUGAAAACAUACACGGCCCACCCCUCCCUUGACUCCGAAGUGAGGGGCUGCAGUGCACAUCUGGGCCUUUAGUGAUGAUACUGAGGAAUGCUGGGGGAAAGGUUGUGCUUUCCACUGAAGUUGUUCUAUUCUAAAAUGUUAUCAUUAGAACUGUUAACACCAGAACUAAGUGAUGCACAUACACAAAUUUUCUUUUGUUGAUUAAAAAAAAAUGCUUUUACUGCCAUUCCAAA